GCACUGUUGAUCUGGCUGCGACAUCUGUCACCCCAUUGAUCACCGGGUUGAUUCCGCUGAUCUGGCUGGCUAGGUCGGUGUCCCCUUCCUCCCUCAACGCUCCAUGUGCGACCCUCCCGAAGCUGCGCCCUCGGUCGAAGAGGACGGCCAUUCCUGAAUAGAGCCAGUCUUCGGUCUAGGCUAUACGAGGGUAUAGCUGCACUCCUCCCUGCUGGAACCCCCAUGAGAAGUAUAUAAAUAUAUUUUGAUAAUCCGGAUCCUAACUUC
rnacentral:sRNA from 1 species